GACGAACGCUGGCGGCGUGCUUAACACAUGCAAGUCGAACGGAAAGGCCCUGCUUUUGUGGGGUGCUCGAGUGGCGAACGGGUGAGUAACACGCGAGUAACCUGCCCUUGUCUUUGGGAUAACUCCAGGAAACUGGGGCUAAUAUCGGAUAGGAGCUCCUGCUGCACGGUGGGGGUUGGAAAGUUUCGGCGGUUGGGGAUGGACUCGCGGCUUAUCAGCUUGUUGGUGGGGUAGUGGCUUACCAAGGCUUUGACGGGUAGCCGGCCUGAGAGGGUGACCGGCCACAUUGGGACUGCGAUACGGACCAGACUCCAACGGGAGGCAGCAGUGGGGAAUAUUGCGCAAUGGGGGGAAGCCUGAUGCGGCAACGCCGCGUGCGGGAUGACGGCCUUCGGGUUGUGAACCGCUUUCGCCUGUGACGAAGCGUGAGUGACGGUAAUGGGUAAAGAAGCACCGGCUAACUACGUG
rnacentral:rRNA from 1 species